rnacentral:lncRNA from 1 species
GAAUGUUUGAAAGUUUCACUUUCCAUAGUUGUUUUCAGCUAUGACAAUAUAUGUAAUCUCAAGUCAGUCUCUAAAUAGAGCCAUCAGAAUGAGAAGUACAGAGACUACAUGGUUAAAAAGGGAGCAUGGGAGACGGGGUCUUGGUUUGUCCUGUUAUUCCCUUCUGUGUGUGUGUGUGUGUGUGUGUGUGUGUAUUUAGGUGACUCCAGAGUUGUGGUACUCUGUUCCAGGAUGAUGGUGGGUAGGUGUCCACUUGACAGGGAACAUGGAUGCUCAAACUCCUGAGAUUGAGACUUGGAAACAUUCCCCUUAGAGAGUUGUAGGCAGAGCCUGCUGUAACUCUCAAUCUUAGAUUAUUCCUCCUUUUAGAUUUCUCUCCUGAAUGCAGUUACAAAGAUGCCCACUCACAUACUGAUGUUGCUACUCCCAGAGCUGGAAAUGCUACAGUGAUUUUCUUUGGAGUGUGAGAUUCUAGGUUACUUAGUGUUUCUUCCAUCCCAUUUUUAUAGCUUUAUUCCAUAAAACUAAUUUGAAUCCUUUUAUACUUAGAUAAAAGUAACUUCUAUUAAAGAUAAAAUAACAUGAAAUAAUACGUACCAAAGAUCGGGUCCUCUCAUGAAAUAUUGGAACAUACAUGAGUCAUUGAAAUUUUGAGACACAGAGAGCAUUUGGUAUCAUUGAUAUAGAAGUAAGUUAGCUCAAGAACAGCCUUCGGAAUCAGGCCUUUUAAUUUGGAAGGAUCUUCUGAAUUCAUUGUAAAUAAUAAGAAGAAACUUUAGGGCCAAAUGAAUGGAGAUGAAUCAGAAGUAGCCAACAUUUCCCAGGCCUUUAGAUGCUUAUUUUACUCACUUUAACUUUAUCUAUGAAGGGACAUGAUUAAUAGGUUGUCUGUGACAUUUCCUCAACUCCAG